rnacentral:lncRNA from 1 species
UAUGUAUUAAAAACCUCAAUUUUUAAGUAGGCAGUGAAAUAAACAGCAAGAAAAUAGAUUUAUAUAAGGUGAUCAUGAUCGACUAUGAAGAACCAUGAAUUUUCUGAUUUAAUUUUAUUCAUGAAAACCUACCCCAAAUGAAAAACUGGGUUUAAAAUAUUAUUUGUGCAUUUGUUUUGUAAUUGCAGGUGUAUUUCUGAUCUUUUCUUUUCAUAAUUAAGUGGAUUUUUUUCUUGAAUUUUCCAGGCGAAAUCGGGUUAUGGCUGUAAUUCCAGCAUUCUCUCCAGCUCCAUUCAUGAUUUAGUGGCCAUGAUUUUCCAUUCAAUUAAGACUUUGAUUGGAUGCUUGCAUGUAGAUAUAAUAUAUAAUAAGUAGGGAAGUAAAUCUUGUAAAAGCUUCUCAGCUUUGUUAUCAAGUCGAGGGUUCUUAAUUGCAAGUGUAAGUUCUCCUGAAGUUGUCUUCUUCUUCAAUCCCCCCUCCCAGGAGGAUGUCAAGCUUCAUGUGUUGUAAUUAUUAUAUAUGUAUUAAAAGGAAAUGCUGUUUUAUCGUAGAAAUUGUAUAAUUAUAAAUUUUGCUAAUUGUUUUUACUGGUGGUGAUAAAAUUAUAAUU